UUUCUCUCUAUAGCAGCAACUCCUCUGCCUUCUCUCUAAAAAUUCUCAACUUUCCUUUUCCCUCUCUCAAACUUCUUUCCAAUCUCACUUCGAUCCUUCGGUCAUCGUCACCGUUGGCCUACCAACCCAAAGCCUUUUCUUUUCUUCUCCUUCACCGUCAGCCUUUUCCUUCUUCUCUUCUCUCUUUUUCUUUUUUUUUUCUUUCUCUUUCUUUCUCUUCAGCACCUAACGGCCCUAUUUCUUCCUUCAACGUCGAUCGGUCUUCUCUCUCCUUUUGCCGACCCUCUCUCUUCCUUCAGCAUCGACCUUGCUUGACAUUAAUCAAUGCUCGAUACUGACCUUGUUUUGUAUGCUUUUGACAGCAUUAUUUUCCAGCAUUUGAUGUUUUGAAAAUUUGUAUACAUUUCUCAAUGAAAUCCUAACUCUGCCACUCUUUUUGUCCUUUUGUGCAAAUUAAUUUGGUCACUCAUCCUAGGGCUGGUGAUCUUCGUGAACCACUUAAGUGUAUUUAUAACUUGUAUGUUGAGUAUGUUCCCAAGAAUCCACUCUAUACCCCUGAACUUCAAUUAGGUAAAUAGUCCUUUUUUUCUCAAUCUAAUAGUUACAUGUUUAUCUUUUGAGGAUUAUUCUGUUAUGACAACCACUGGUCAUCCUUUUUGGUUAAUGCUGCAUUUAUUUGCAUAUUUGUCUCUACAAACUGAAGUUUCUCACUAUUUUAAUUUUGUUGAAUAAAAAGGCAGAUGUUGUAAAUUAGUUAUGCUAUGAAUGAUUGUUUAAUAAAGGCAGAUGCUCAGUCCAACCGGUGUCUUUAUGAAAGUCUUUAAAUAGAAUGAGUGGAAUUUUGCUCAAGUAUAGGAAGGAAGGCAAGUAUGUGUGAGUAGUCUAAAUUGUGGGCUAGGCAUCAUUCUUGGAUGUAUUUUCUCUAUUUAAUGAACAUGCCAUUCUUGGAUAUGUAUACUCUCUUUAGUGAAGCCAAGAAAGUCAUUUUGCUAGCUCUAUAAAGAUGCAUUAACCAUGAAGUUUAAAUACUUCUUUCCUAGUCAAAGUUCCUUGGCAUGGUCAGCAUUUCAGCAGCUUCAAGAUGUGAGCAACCAAGAUUUUGUUGUUGAAGUUGUUUCUCUCUUCUUUGAUGAUUUUAAAAAACUGCUCAAUGAUCUGACCAUAGCUUUGUAAGAUCUCAGUCUGUGUCAGGUUUCUUCUUGCCAUAGCUAUCUUUUACUAUUAUUAUUUUUAUAUAUUUGAGUUUCUUAUUUUAUUUUCUCCUUAACUUUUUCUUUUUUGAUAUAGAGAUCGGCUACAUGUAUACUUCUAAAAGUUUGAUACACAUGUUCAUCAGUUGAAGGGUAACAGUUGCAAGUACUUAUAAAUUUUCCUUUCUUUAAUGUCAAGCCUUGAAAACUUAAAUUAUUUUUUUUUUCUACUUCAAAAAGCUUUUCUUGUUCCCUUUCUUUGGAAAUUUUGAUUUUUUCUUCAACAAUAGUUGAACCCCAUAAUUGCACUACAAAAAGUAUAAUUCAAAUGGAAAAAGGUCUGACUUGUUAGAUUUGACCAUUCAAUUGAUAGAGAAGUUAAAGUUGAAACAAGAUUUUUUGACAGUUGGGUUGCUUUUGUUUUUGCUCAUUGUUGUUUGAUGAGAAUGGUUGUUGUGUGUGUUUGUGUGUUAAACAGCAUUGUGCAUACAGAGUUAAAAAUGCUUGCAUUGCUUUUUACAACUUCUCUAAAGAGCAGAACAUUGCAACGUGCUUGAGAUGUCUUCAACAAGUGAAACAAGAGUAUUACCUUGUGAAUUUUAAAUACUUUUUUAGUAUGGCAUACAAUAACACAUUUAGCGUUGUGCUAUAUUUGUUUGACAUUUUGAGAUAUUAUGUGUUUAUGACAAUUUUUAAUUGCAUGAACUUAAUUUUGAAUUUUGGAUUUUAAUUUGUA